rnacentral:rRNA from 1 species
AUACGUAGGGUGCGAGCGUUGUCCGGAAUUACUGGGCGUAAAGAGCUCGUAGGUGGUUUGUCGCGUCGUCUGUGAAAUUCCGGGGCUUAACUCCGGGCGUGCAGGCGAUACGGGCAUAACUUGAGUACUGUAGGGGAGACUGGAAUUCCUGGUGUAGCGGUGAAAUGCGCAGAUAUCAGGAGGAACACCGGUAGCGAAGGCGGGUCUCUGGGCAGUAACGGACGCUGAGGAGCGAAAGCAUGGGUAGCGAACAGGAUUAGAUACCCUGGUAGUCCAUGCCGUAAACGGUGGGCGCUAGGUGUAGGGGUCUUCCACGACUUCUGUGCCGUAGCUAACGCAUUAAGCGCCCCGCCUGGGGAGUACGGCCGCAAGGCUAAAACUCAAAGGAAUUGACGGGG